rnacentral:rRNA from 1 species
GACGAACGCUGGCGGCGUGCUUAACACAUGCAAGUCGAACGGAAAGGCCCUGCUUUUGUGGGGUGCUCGAGUGGCGAACGGGUGAGUAACACGUGAGUAACCUGCCCUUGACUUUGGGAUAACUUCAGGAAACUGGGGCUAAUACCGGAUAGGAGCUCCUGCUGCAUGGUGGGGGUUGGAAAGUUUCGGCGGUUGGGGAUGGACUCGCGGCUUAUCAGCUUGUUGGUGGGGUAGUGGCUUACCAAGGCUUUGACGGGUAGCCGGCCUGAGAGGGUGACCGGCCACAUUGGGACUGAGAUAUGGCCCAGACUCCUACGGGAGGCGGCAGUGGGGAAUAUUGCACAAUGGGCGGAAGCCUGAUGCAGCAACGCCGCGUGCGGGAUGACGGCCUUCGGGUUAUAAACCGCUUUCGCCUGUGACGAAGCGUGAGUGACGGUAAUGGGUAAAGAAGCACCGGCUAACUACGUG